rnacentral:rRNA from 1 species
GAUGAACGCUGGCGGCGUGCCUAAUACAUGCAAGUCGAGCGAACAGACGAGGAGCUUGCUCCUCUGACGUUAGCGGCGGACGGGUGAGUAACACGUGGAUAACCUACCUAUAAGACUGGGAUAACUUCGGGAAACCGGAGCUAAUACCGGAUAAUAUAUUGAACCGCAUGGUUCAAUAGUGAAAGACGGUUUUGCUGUCACUUAUAGAUGGAUCCGCGCCGCAUUAGCUAGUUGGUAAGGUAACGGCUUACCAAGGCAACGAUGCGUAGCCGACCUGAGAGGGAGAUCGGCCACACUGGAACUGAGACACGGCCCAGACUCCGAGGGGAGGCAGCAGUAGGGAAUCUUCCGCAAUGGGCGAAAGCCUGACGGAGCAACGCCGCGGGAGUGAUGAAGGUCUUCGGAUCGUAAAACUCUGUUAUUAGGGAAGAACAAAUGUGUAAGUAACUAUGCACGUCUUGACGGUACCUAAUCAGAAAGCCACGGCUAACUACGUG